rnacentral:lncRNA from 1 species
GACUUGCCGGUAACGAGACUGAACGAGGUAUUGGGAUACCGACGAUCGAGUCUUGGGCAUGUAACGUACCGAUUGACAAAGGGAAUUGCAUAUGGGGUUUGAUCGAAUCCUCGACAUCGUGGUUCAUCCGAUGACAACAUCGAGGAGCAUGUGGGAGCCAACAUGGGUAUCCAGAUCCCGCUGUUGGUUAUUGACCUGAGGUCGUCUCGGUCAUGUCUGCAUGUCUCCCGAACCCGUAGGGUCUACACACUUAAGGUUCGGUGACGCUAGGGUUAUUAGGAAGACUUGUAUGUGAUUACCGAAUGUUGUUUGGAGUCCCGGAUGAGAUCCCGGACGUCACGAGGAGUUCCGGAAUGGUCCGGAGGUAAAGAUUUAUAUAUGGAAAGUUGUUAAACGGACUCCGGAAAGUUUCGGGGGCAUACCGGUAUUGUACCGGGGCCACCGGAAGGGUUCCGGGGGUCCACCGGGUGGGGCCACCCCUCCCGGGGGGGGCCACAUGGGCUGUGUGGGAGAGGGAGCCAGCCCCUAGUGGGCUGGGCGCGCCUCCCCACCUAGGCCCAUGCGGCUAGGGCAAGGGGAGGGGAAACCCUAAAGGGGGCGCCCCCCUAGCUUGGGGGGCAAGCCACCCUUUUUCCCUCUCCCUUUGGCCGCCGCCCCCCCUCUAGGGUUUCCCCUAGAGGGCCGGCCCGCUUGCCCCUCUCCUCCUAUAUAUAGAGGGGUGAGGGGAGGGCUGCAUACCACAAGCCAAGGCGCAGCCCCUCCCCUCCCCAACACCUCUCCUCCUCCGUACGUGCUUGGCGAAGCCCUGUCGGAGUACUUCUGCACCAACUACACCACGCCGUCGUGCUGCCAUUGGAGCUGCCUUCCUCAACCUCUCCUUCCUCCUUGCUGGAUCAAGAUGGAGGAGACAUCGUCCGUCCCGUACGUGUGUUGAACGCGGAGGUGCUGUCCGUUCAGCACUUGGUCAUCGGUGAUCCGAAUCACGACGAGUACGACUCCAUCAUCACCAUCCCCUUGAACGCUUCCGCACUCGAUCUACAAGUGGUAUGUAGAUGCAAACUCACUCCCUUGACUCGUUGCUUAGAUGAACUCAUAGAUGGAUCUUGGUGAAACCGUAGGAAAAAUUUUAAUUUUCUGCAACGUUCCCCAACAUCUACAUCACCGAGCCGCGCGACACCAACUGGGUGGCGGCCCCCGAGUUCCGAUCCAGAAUCCCCACGCGGCUCAUCUCCUGGAAAGAGAAGGGCCUAUCCUGGGGGUUCAUCGGUGGAGCUGACCUGACUCCAGAAAUGUAUCCGAAACAUGAUGAGCAAGAAAAUCAAGCUCGUUAAUGUGGUCUAGGUCAUGCUCUUCCAUCGGAUCCUCCCGUGUCAAUGACGGACAUUCAAUUUGUGGGAGUUCGACCCGGCCGAGCACCAGACGCUACGAGAGCUCUUCGACACGACACACAAGGACGUCUGGAAGGUGUUGUUCAAAGGCGCUGAGGUACCUCCUCCCCUUACCAAGGACUGUGGACUCAGCGCAAAGCGCCCUGCCAAUCCGGUAAGUCUUUCAUAUCUCAUAAGAUGUUCAUUUUCCCCAGUCUAACCAUGCGCGGGAUCUAAGCCUCUACGCCAUUUAACAGGACUGGGUGAAGACAGUGGAGCAGAUCGAUUGUCCAGCCCCCCUGUUCGAAGAUCCAGUAGAUGCUUUCCUAACGGAGAUGCUGGCUCUGGCGCCCUACGAGGUGCCGGGGAAGAAGGCCAAGAAGAAGGCCACGGGGACCCGGAAGGGUCUCCGGUGCAAGGUCAUAUCGGACUCCUCGUCCGAAAACUCCGAGGCGCCUUCCUCCCACGAAAACGAGGAGAAAGAGGAUAAAAGUUCCCCUCCCCCAGCCGGGGGGGGACAAGAAAAGGAAGGCCGCCCCAUCCGGGGAGGCCGAAGGGUCCAAAAAGGAACGCCCUCCCGGACUGCUCCACGACGGCCGCCUAUAGUGAUGACGAGUGGUUUCCCAGGGACAAGCCCCUGGCGAAGUUGUAAGUAUUUGGAUACCAUAAUAAUCCUUGAUAUGUUUUAUUGCACUGCUUCUCAUCACGCCGAACAUGAUUAUGCAGUCCGUCCCGAGACCGUAUCGACGUAUCUUCGUUGGAUGGUUCUUUGGACUCGUCGGAUCUGAACAGCGAUUCCCUUUUGACCGCCUCCUCCCCUCGCCCUAUGGACAACGUCGAGGUGUUGUCUCGAAGGGCACUGAGCCGAGGGGAGGUAGUCCUGGAGGUGCCUCGAGGCGACAUUCUGGGAACUAGGCACAAGGGGAGCAAGACUCCCAUUGGUUCCGACGACGGGGGCAGCAAAUUCAGCCCCCAGCCGAAUACUGCGCCGGAACCUCCAGUGGUUCCAGACUCUCUCAGGCAACCCCUCCCUAAGGCGGCAAACCACCUAAGCCGACAGCCUCUGUCCAUCCAGAGGCAUCGGACAGCUUACUGGAAGCGCUUCGCGGCGCUUAGAGCAUCGCACUAUCAUGAGUGCGGUGAUCAAGAAGGUUCAGUCUGCCAAAAGCAGACUGACUGAAGCCUGUGCCAGCCUCCUAAAAAGCUUUGAGGUAAGUGAUCAAAUUAUAAGAAAAUGUUACAGCAUAGAGAGUAGCCCCUGAUGCUUUGUUUGAUGUUCGCGAAGGAAGGUCGAAUAGAGGAUCAAAAUGAAAACCGCAGGAGUCUAAUCAAAAUAUGUCUAUGUGCAUAUGCAGGCUUCCCUGCUAGCCGCUGCCGCACGUACAGCGGAGGUUGCUGCACUGAAGCAAGACCUUGAGCGGUCCCAGGAACAGCUCGGCCUGACCAAGAGGCAGCUCGAAGAGAACAAAGGUAAGUCAUACCCUGUCUGAACAUUAUAAAGAAAAGUUUGGUUUUAGAAUAAUAGGAUCAUCAUGAAUUUGCUAGGGGCCACGACCGAAGUGGCAGCCCUAAAUAAAUAGCUAUCCGAGGCCAAAGACAAAGCGGCCAAGGAGCGCACCGAGCGUGAGAAACAAGAGGCCCGGGUUGGUGAGGUGCAGCAAGAGCUCCAGGACUUUGCCGAGAAGUAUAAGUCCUUGGAGCGUGACUCAAAGACGCAGGAGUCUGAGCUUGCAAAGGCACUCGAGAGCGCACAAAGCGCCAAGGCCGAAGCAAGCAUGUGGUUAAGAAGAUAGCAGUGGGUAAGGCAUUCAUUAUGCAAAGCAAGCAUGUGAAGGAAACUUUCCUUUUACUUACCCGAGUUCGGAGCUCUCCAGGAGUGUUCGCAGAUCUACCUCGCAGUUUGUCGGAUGCCACGGAGUUCUACCGAGCUGAGGAGGGGAUCUCAAUGGAGAAGUUGUUCUGGUCUCAGUAUACUGGGACCGAACACCCAAUGCCCUUGAGCGACCAACUGAAGCAACUGGUCGAGCUUCACAAGGCGGCCGAACAGGCCAUGAAGGGUCUUAUAGUACGGAUGUGGCUUGGCAAACCCCUACCUCAUAGCUACUUCGGUCUGGUGAGGCGGCUUGUGAAUGCCUGCCCACGGCUUGAAGACAUAAAGCGGUCCGUCUGCAUCGAGGGUGCGCGCAGGGCUUUUGCCCGGGCAAAGGUGCACUGGGCGAAGCUGGACGUCGUAAAGCUGGUGAAGGAGGGGCCACCGGAAGGCAAGGAGCAUCGCCACCCUGAAAUGUAUUAUGACAGUGUCCUGAAGGGUGCUCGCCUUGCGGCGGAGGAGUGUGCUAAGGAUGUAAUAUUCUAAUAAAUGUAUUCAUGUGAUCCUGAAAUAUGAAACGAUUUCAUUUGCGCUAUGCAACGCUUUGUUAAUUUAAAAUAUUACCUUUUGUGCGGCCGUUUAUGAAAUCUGAGAGUUGGCUAGUCGUCGGCUACUGCCCCCAUGUAACUAGUACUAAGGCGUUCGGGAUAAACCUGAGCACUCUUUAUCCCAAUUUUGGGUCCUUCGAAGGAGGUGUUCAGCACGACCAACCAGACAAUCGGACUAUAAAGCUUUAUCACUCUCACUUAGCCAUAAAAGUUUACAAUUUUAAAUUUUGGCGAAGCCCCUUGUAUUCGAAAGACCAAAUUGGGGGCGCUAUAUACGCCUAAGUCGGACAAGGCGACUCCUCGCCCGAAGCGGAAAAAGUCUUUAGGGACUUGAGACCUCUCGAACGGCGACCAACUCUUGCCUCAUCAUGAAAGUCAGUUUUCGGCUUUCUCUACUGAGGUGCUCGUCCUGAAGAACCGGGACACAAUCGCAGUAGUUCUCCCAGCGCUACCUUAGCCGAUUUUACGGAACGUAAGGUACCAAAACAUGGGAGCCGGGAAAACCCAACUAUUGAACCAAGACAUGAUUCGGAGCUGAUGCAUAUAAUGCUAUAAGUUCGGGGUGCCACACUAUCGAAAGUGUUCGGACUUCUCACGCUGUAUUAUGGGGUAUACUGGAGCCCCUGGUGCACUAGUCGUACCAGGAUGUACGGGUGCGAUUUGUCAUAAAUAAGCAGACAAAAGAAAGAAACAAGAAAGAAAAAAAGUGUAAUGCAAUAAUAAGCUAACGCUAUGCAUUGUCAUUAAGAUAGUACGCCGAAGCGUACGGAUACAAAUAGUGCAAUAAGCAAAAAAUAAGACUAUGUGACAUGUCCUAUCCAAGGGCAAGCUGCGUAUGGGUAUGUAAAACAGGUAUAUCGAUGGUGAUCAGAGACCACCUUUGUAUGUCAGACCGUCUUGCUUCCUUGGUAUUUCCUUGCCGCAUUGAGUCCAAUAAUUAGACUGCCGGGAAGGGCUUCCAGAGAGUAAGGUCCUAAAAGAGAAAAAAUGAGAAAGGUAUACGGCCCCUGUGGCGGUUGAGCCGCUUUGUGGGACGUGCCGUAGUGGUGCCUCCGCCUAUACCCAUGGUAUCUUAAGUGCGUAGUUAUGUACGCGCAGCGCAACUUUUGCCACGUGACUGGGACUAGGACGGAGGCCGAAUUGCUAGUCGGACCCAAAACGUGCCUGCCGAUCCUCCUGCGGGGUACUACGGACUCGCUUGAAGGUGUCCGCGGUCCUUUUCGCCGAAUUGGCAGUUUGCCUAAUAAGGCUGCUUUGCGCUUUUGCUGCCAGAGCUGCAGUGUGUUCCUCUGUGCGGAGCGAGCGCUCUGUGUUUCCAUUAACUGUUAUAACCCCGCUUGGUCCUGGCAUUUUGAGUUUGAGGUAUGCAUAAUGCGGUACUGCAUUGAAUCUGGCAAAUGCGGUUCGUCUGAGUAGUGUGUGAUAGCCGCUGCGAAAGGGGACGAUAUAGAAGAUUAACUCCUCGUUUUGAAAGUUGUUCGGAGAUCCGAAAACCACUUCCAGUGUGAUUGAGCCCGUGCAGCAGGCCUCUACACCUAAGAUUACACCUUUAAAGGUGGUUUUGGUAGGUUUGAUCCUCGAGGGGUCUAUGCCCAUUUUGCGCACUGUAAUCCUGAUAGAGCAGGUUCAGGCUGCUGUUGCCGUCCAUAAGGACUCGAGUGAGGUGAAAUCUGUCAAUGAUGGGGUCUAGGACCAAUGCGGCAGAUCUGCCAUGACGUAUACUGGUGGGGUGGUCCCUGCGAUAGAAGGUGACCGGACAAGAGGACCAUGGGUUGAACUUUGGGUGACCGACUCUAUCACAUAGACGUCCCUUAGUGCACGCUUCCGUUCCCUCUUGGGAAUGUGGGUUGCGUAUAUCAUGUUCACCGUUUUCACUUGUGGAGGGAAGCUCUUCUGUCCUCCUGUGUUCAGCGGCCGGGGCUCCUCCUCCUCGUCGCUAUGCAGCCCCUUGUCCUUGUUUUCUGUAUUCAACUUGCCGGCCUGCUUGAACACCUAGCAUUCUUUGUUGGUGUAAUUGGCUGGCUUAUCGGGGGUGCCGUCAAUUUGACACGAGCGAUCGAGUAUGCGGUCCAGACUGGAUAGGCCAGGAUUAUUUCUUUUGAACGGCUUUUCCGCUGAUCAGAUUUAGAGCCACUAAAUCUGGCAUUGGCUGCCGUGUCUUCGGCGUUAUCGCCGUUGUUGCGGCGCUUGUGCAUGUUGCGACGUAGUCUGCCAUUAGUAUCUUUGGCAUCUGAAGUGCCAGGAUUCCUUGAUGUAUUGUUGUUGCGAGCCAGCCAGCUAUCUUCUCCCGUGCAAAAGCGGGUCAUGAGUGUCGUGAGGGCUGCCAUAGACUUUGGCUUCUCUUGGCCAAGGUGUCGGGCGAGCCACUUGUCCCGGAUGUUAUGUUUGAAUGUCGGUAAGGCCUCGGCAUCCGGACAGUCCACGAUUUGGUUCUUUUUAGUUAAGAACCGAGUCUAGAAUUUCCUGGCCGAUUCCCCAGGCUGUUGGGUUAUGUGGCUCAAGUCAUCAGCAUCUGGUGGUCGCACAUAAGUGCCCUGGAAGUUGUCAAGGAAUGCAUCUUCCAAAUCCUCCCAACUACCAAUGGAGUCUGCUGGCAAGCUAUUCAGCCAAUGCCGAGUUGGUCUUUGAGUUUUAGUGGGAGGUACUUGAGGGCAUGUAGAUCAUUGCCGCGGGCCAUGUGGAUGUGGAGGAGGAAAUCCUCGAUCCAUACCGCGGGGUCUGUUGUACCAUCAUAUGAUUCAAUGUUUACGAGUUUAAAACCCUCUGGGAAUUCGUAAUCCCUUACUUCAUCAGUGAAGCAUAGGGGGUGUGCGGUGCCUCUGUGCCGGGCUAUAUCAUGACGCAGUUCAUAUGAGUCUUGUCUGCUGUAUACGGCCCGGUCGGAUUUGCUUUUGGUAUAUCCGGCGCGACGAUCAUCGUCCCACGUUGGGGCGCGCCCACGUGAUCCGUAGAUCGAUCUUGUAUGUUUUGCUUUGUUUUCCAAUACGCCUCGUAGGUCCUGCAUGUUGCCCCGGGCCUUGGUGUUUUUUUUGUCUGGCGACGGGGUGCGGGCUGGACUUCGGGCUGAUAUGCCCCUCUGUCUCGGCCACGAGGUGGCUGAUCAGCCGCAUCAUACGCUGGCGAUGUGGGUUUCAAUGCUUCCCCUUCGAGUUGGGGCAGCAACCUGCGCUUUGGGUAACUCUUGGUUGGGUGUUCGAGUUCGUCUUCCUCGGCCGCAAGGCCUUCGGUCCAUCUAUCCGCUAGCAGAUCUUGAUCAUCUUGAAGCUGUUGCUGCUUUUUCUUCAGGCUAUUUGUUGUGGCUAUAAGCCGACACUUGAAGCGCUCCUGCUCGACAGGAUCCUUAGGCACGAUAAAUUAUUCGUCGCCGAGGCUCACCUCGUCUUCGGAGAGAGGCAUGUAAUUGUCAUCCUCCGUUUCUCCAUCUGCUGCCUGUUUGGAGGGCUAGCCUGUUCAUCCUCCCGCUCUGAGUCUGGCUGGAGGGUAUUGUCGUCGUCUUCGGCACUAUCCGGAGUGUUAUUAUCUCUUGUGCCGGUAUCGUUGCUAUGGCGGGACUUAGAGCGGCGCCGCUGACGUCGGUGCCUGGAUUGCUUCUUGGAGGGAUUAUCCUCCACUGUCUCAUCGCCAUCACCUUCUUUUGGGGUAUCCACCAUGUAUAUAUCAUAUGAUGAGGUGGCGGUCCAGCGCCCUCUGGACGGUGGUUCCUGUUCGUCUCCUGCAUUGUCGUCCAUAACAUCGAUGUCUUCGGAGCCGAAGUCGAGUGUCGGUGUCAAAACUGGCAGAUCUCGGGUAGGGGGUCAUGAACUGUGCGUCUAGGCGGAUGGUAACAGGAGACGAGGGACACGAUGUUUUUACCCAGGUUCAGGCCCUCUUGAAGGAGGUAAAACCCUACGUCCUACUUGAUUAAUAUUGAUGAUAUGGGUAGUACAAGAGUAGAUCUACCAUGAGAUCAGAGAGGCUAAACCCUAGAAGCUAGCCUAUGGUAUGAUUGUUGUUCCUACGGACUAAAACCCUCCGGUUUAUAUAGACACUGGAGAGGGCUAGGGCUACACAGAGUCGCUUACAAUGGUAGGAGAUCUACAUAUCCGUAUCGCCAAGCUUGCCUUCCACGCCAAGGAAAGUCCCUUCCGGACAUGGGACGAAGUCUUCAAUCUUGUAUCUUCAUAGUCCAGGAGUCCGGCGGAAGGUAUAGUCCGGCUACCCGGACACCCCCUAAUCCAGGACUCCCUCAGUAGCCCCCGAACCAGGCUUCGAUGAUGACGAGUCCGGCGCGCAGAUUGUCUUCGGCAUUGCAAGGCGGGUUCUCCUCCAAAUUCCGUGUACCUGUUGAAUAAUGUCCGGUUUCUUGUAAAUGUACCGCUCCUUGGCUUCUACGCCCAAUAAUGGCCAUCUUCCAUGUGUCAAACGAAUACGAAAAGUCAGGGUGUUUUUACAUUUACACCCCUAGCCGCAUGAAUGAGCCGCCAAUUUAAGGGGACGAGGAUUUAGAUCCAAACCACACCUUCUCCCCUCCGCGAGUAUUCAUCAGAGCGUAUCCGAUAGAGGUCCAUUCUAUCAUGGCCGGCCGCCGUAGCUCCUCCUCUCGCCCUUCCAGCCCUCAGCCUGGAGAUUGGGAGAGAUGCCCUGCACAGCGAGCUAGUGACACUCCAGACCAAGGGAUUUCUCCCCCGGGCCUAUAUGGUCCCAGUUCGAGCCGGACUUGCCACCUAUAAUGGCGGAGAGCAAGCGGAGAGCGCCCCCAAUCCCUCCAAAGGAGAGCAGGUAUGCCUUGUCCCUUACUUGAUAAGAGGGCUCAGAUUUCCAAUUCAUCCGUUUCUCCGGGGGCUCCUGGAGUUCUAUGGCCUCCAGCUGCACAACCUCACACCUGCCUCCAUAUUGCAUAUCGCGGGCUUCGUAGCCCUUUGCGAGCUAUUUUUGGGCUGCGAGGCUCAUUUCACGCUGUGGAAAAGGCUAUUCUGCCUUGUGCCCCAUUCUCAGAAGGGGUCAAUAUAUCAAGUGGGCGGAGCUGAAGUGUGGCGCAUCGCCGGGACCGGAUAUCUAUCCGGAACCCCAAAGAAGGCGUCCGAUGACUGGCCUUCGGAAUGGUUUUAUAUAGAGGACGUCCCGCUACCGGAUCCUGUCCGGAUCGGCCUCCCUAAGUUCGACAGUGCUCCCCUAAAGAAGCGCCUAAGCUGGCAUCCACGGAGCCCUCAGAGGGAAAGUGACAAGGACGUUCUUUACCUGAUGGGCAAGAUAAGAUUGUUAGCUCAUUCCAGACUGACCAUGAUCGGGGUCAUGGCUGCAUGCAUCAUGCGAGGGGUGCAGCCGCUUCAGUAUAGAGGCCACCCCAUGUGGGACUUCAACGGGGAGGACGACGCCACCCGCCACGGCCGUAAGGGGCCGGAUUCGGCUGCCGCUCUAAUAAAGAUCUUGUCCUCUUUGUACAAGGGAGAAGAGGAGGAAUUUCUCUGCGUCAACCCAUAGGGUGGAUUUUCUAUGUACAAUCCCCCAAGUUGGGUAAGUGGUCACUUUUACUUGCCCAUCCAUUUUAUAUUCCCAUCGUUAAAUAUUCAGUCUAACGACUUCAAAGCAGGAACUGCGCCAGGCUGUUAAAUAAAUAAACAGCCCUCCUCCACAACCCGAGGAUCCAGGACGGUCCCUCGACCCGGCCUCUCAAGAGGAUCCGGACUUAUCUGUGGAGCUGAUUGAUGGGGUGUUUCAUCAACUGAGCAAGGACAAUGCCUUGGUAGCCGUUAUGACCGAUUACCCAGGGCUACUCCCAGCCUCACAGGUAACUGAGACCGAAGUCCCAGCACUUUGGAAAGGGAUCUAUCCUCGCGUGUUUUCGACUGCCGUAUGACAACCGUGUUUUGCAGCGGAGCUCCUUGAGACGGGAGGCCGAGCCUGCGGCGACUAGCCAACGAGGGGCGGCAAGGCCCCGCGGGCUGAAAAGAAGUGCGGUCCGGACUGAGACGCCGGCGCAAAGGUAUAGCGUGCCAUCUUACUCCCAGGUGUUAUUCCUUCAAGGCAUAUUAACGCUUGUGCUCUCUUCAGGACGAAGAGACCUUGCCGGACUAUAUCCGGAGAGGUUGCCAAUCAUGCCUCCACCAGCCAGGCUCCAAAGCCUGGUCCGAAAGCGGAGGCGAACACAAGGCGCGCACCGGACGCUCCUCCGACAAAGGAUGCGGACAGGCUGUCUGCCACCAAUUCCGAGGUGGAGAGUGCCAUGAACCGCAGGCGUCACCGGACAGUUCUUCGCGACGCUUGUUUCUCCCCAGAGGCAUUGGAUGCCUUCAAUUUGGGAGAUGCGUGCCUCCGUGCCGCUCAAAAUGGUCUAGCCAGAGCCACAGAGCAAUAUGUAAAAGACAUACUGGUAAGAAAAUUUUGGUAAUUAUAUAUAUACCAGUAGCCCCCGAGACUUGAAACAGUUAGAAUAACUGAUUUAAGGAUCAUUUGUUAUGCAGGUUCUUACAGAAAAGAAUACUCUACUGUCCCAGGAGCUAGAAGAGUGCAAAGCCCAACUUGAGGCCGCACUAGCCGCGGCAGGGGAGCCCAAGGAGACCCCCUCUGGUAAUAUACGCUUCGAAAGAUAAGUAUUUUGCAAAGUGUGGCAUGGGUGCAAAUCUGACAAAUGAAAUUGCAGAUGGCGCCGGAUUAAAUCUGGAAAAGCAACAACUCCUACGCCAGCUGAAGGCUGGUGAGAGCGUGCUGACAAAGGUGAGGCGGGAGAAGAACGUCUCCAAGAUGCCAACACCAAGCUGGGCAUUGAACUGAACGAUGUUCGUGCCCGGCUGUUGGACUCCGUUAAGGAGAAUCAGCGGCUUCGACGCGGCAUAUUUAGUAAGUGCUUAAACGAACUUUGAAAAAAGAGUUCGGCGAGGAAGUUGACUAAUAGAGUAAUGUCUGUAGGUAUGCUAACAGGUCGUCCUGCAAAGGAAAUGCCCGGUUCUACGGGUGACCUUCUUCCCGAGCUCUCACAACUGCACGAGCGAGUUCGGCAGGUGAUGCGAGGCAUCGCCCAAGCCUUGUGGCCAUCCAUCUCCAUGCCCGAAGGCCUUGGAGAGCUUGUAGAGAAGCUGAAGGGAGCGCGGUGGCGCUUCUGAUUGUGGAAGAUGUCGGCCUGCCGUCAAGGCGCCAGGGAGGCCUAGGCCAUGGUGAAGACGCAGUACACGAAGGCUGACCCAAACCACAUGGCCGAGGUCGGACCCGUGGGGCCCGAUGAGAAGGAGAUCCCUGUGAGCUUAGUAUACGGCUCAGUAGAAUUGGCCGCAAAGUAUUUCCAACAGGACUGUAAACUAGACAGCCUAUUAGAUGGUAUUGAAGAGGAGUACAAUCAUUCAGAUUGACUGUGUAAUUUUAAUUGACAUGUGUAAUGCCUUCUAGCCGGAUUGUAGAUCGUUUGUCAUGGCCGACCUUUUCGCUUCAACCUCGGGACCUGACGGUCCGGAGUGUGUCCGAAUACCCUCGCAGUUAUAUAAGAACCGGGGUAUGCAUGGAGACCAGGCGUAGGGGUCAUUAGUGCUUGAACAGACAAGUGCCCAACUAGUUAUGUUAUAUUAAAUGGUUAGUAAGAAACAUCUUCCAGGGAGAAUAGUUCCGUUAGGGGUUCCUUUCCCUGGGAGGCAUGCUCUAAAGUGCAUGUCCAUUCUGUGAAAAGAAACGCAGGAAAAACAUCUGGGGUGUAUAGAUAAAUAAGUGAAAAAAGAUCAUCUUUAGUUCACCGACCGAAUAUUCCCUUAAGAACGCUAGCUUUCGGCUUCACCCAGUCUGAGGUACACAUCCGGCUGACCCGGCAGUAACAAUCGUAGAGGUGCUCCCUUUACCACCUUGCCGAACAAUCGGGAACGUAGGGGUAAGCACAGGAGCCAGGCAACCCAGCUUGGCCAAAACUUAAGUCAUAUCUAUGCAUAUAAUGGUGAAUAAAAGGUACAUGCGGAAGUGUGACACAUGUGUUGGGCAUGAAGCCCGUAUAAAUAAGCUUCUGUUUAAAGAAGCCCCCAGGUUUAAUGAGCGCGGAUGGCGCGUCACUUUAUGAGAUUUUAAAGGCUAUAAGAGAGAGAGAGGGAGGGGAGAAGGAGAGAAAUGUAAGACAGAAAGUAUAUAAAAAAUGGACAGAGGAAGGAGACGAACACAGAGUCCGGCGCUAGGCAUAGAAUCUUCGAAGACGGGCUGCGUUCCAUGGGUUCGGCUUGAGUCGGUUAUCCGAUGCAUCUCGCAGGCGGUACGCUCCACCAGUCAGGACUUGGUCAAUUAUGAAGGGACCUUCCCACUUGGGCUUGAGUUUGUCCUUUUUCUUGUCCGGCAGGUGUCGGACUAAUUCGCUAACGUUGUAAUUUUUGGCCCGUACUUCUCUACUUUGGUAUCUUCGAGCCUGCUGUUGAUAGAAUGCGGAACGGGCUUUUGCCACAUCACGCUCUUCCUCCAAGGCGUCCAAACUGUCCUGCCGAUCGAGCUCGGCUUCUCUUUCUUUGUACAUGCGCACUCGAGGUGAGUCAUGAAUUAUGUCGCAGGGCAAAACUGCCUCUGUGCCGUACACCAUGAAGAAUGGUGUGUAUUCGAUGGUGCGAUUCGGCGUGGUCCGCAGCCCCUAGAGUACGGAGUCGAGCUCCUCUACCCAGUGCAUAUUAGAUUCCUUAAGGGACCACACUAAUCUGGGCUUGAUGCCGCUCAUGAUAAGACCAUUUGCACGUUCGACCUGGCCAUUAGUUUGUGGGUGAUAGACGGAAGCAUAAUCGAGCUUGAUGCCCAUGUUUUUGCACCAGAGUGUUACCUCGUUGGUCAUAAAGUUCGUGCCGUUAUCAGUGAUGAUGCUGUGGGGGAUGCCGUAACGGUGUACAACCCCAGAUAUAAAGUCUAUCAUCGGUCUGGAUUCGGCCGUCUUAACAGACUUGUCUUCUAUCCAUUUGGUGAACUUAUCCACCAUGACCAGUAAGUAUUUUUUCUUGUGGGUUCCGCCUUUAAGGGGUCCAACCAUGUCAAGCCCCCAGACCGCGAAGGGCCAAGUGAUGGGGAUAGUUUGGAGGGCGGUGGGUGGCAUAUGGCUUUGGUUUGCAAAAAGCUGGCAACCGACGCAUCGUUGGACUAAGUCUUGGGCGUCUGCCCAGGCCGUCGGCCAAUAAAAGCCUGUACGGAAGGCCUUGCUUACAAGGGACCGAGCUGCAGCGUGAUGACCGCCGAGUCCGGCAUGAAUUUCAGCCAGGAGGUUCCGCCCUUCCACUUCGGAGAUGCACCUUUGAAGGACUCCGGUAGUGCUUUUCUUAUAAAGCUCUCCCUCAUGGACUUUAUAGGCUUUAGAUCGCCGCACUAUGUAGCAUGCCUCAUUUUGGUCCUCGGGGAGUUCCUUCCUAGUAAGGUAGGUGAGGAAUGGUUCUGUCCAUGGGGCGAUGACGACCAUUAUUACGUGGGCUGAAGGUGUUAUUUCAUUGGCAAAGCCUCCAAUUAUGUCAGAGUGUUCGAUGUCGGGCAGUGCGGUUGGGUCCGGGCUGUUAUUGCCGGGUUCCCCUUCCCAUACUACGGAUGGCUUGAACAGCCUUUCCAAGAAGAUGUUGGGGUGGGACUACAUCGCGUUUUGCGCUGAUGCGUGCCAGGACAUCUGCUGCCUGAUUAUUUUCCCGGGCUAUAUGGUGAAAUUCAAGCCCUUCGAACCGAGCUGACAUUUUUAGGAUGGCGUUGCGAUAAGCUGCCAUUUUUGGAUCCUUGGAAUCAAAGUCUCUGUUUAUUUGGGAUAUUGUGAGGUUCGAGUCUCCGCGCACCUCUAGGCGUUGAAUGCCCAUGGAUACUGCCAUCCGGAGACCAUGUAAAAGGGCAUCAUAUUCGGCUGCAUUGUUGGAGUCUGUGUACAUUAUCUGGAGUACGUAUUGAACUAUGUCUCCUGUGGGGGACGUCAAAAUGACACCAGCCCCUAGACCGGCCAACAUUUUAGAGCCGUCAGAGUGCAUGACCCAGUUUGAAUAUGUGCCGUACUCUUUAGGGAGUUCGGCCUCCGUCCAUUCUGCGAUGAAGUCGGCCAAAACUUGCGACUUGAUAGCUCGCCGUGGCUUGUAAGUUAUGUCAAACGGGAGGAGCUCAAUGGCCCAUUUUGCGAUAUGGCCCGUCGCAUCGCAGUUGUUUAUAAUAUCAUUAAGUGGCACUUCUGAGGCUACUGUUAUUGAACACUCUUGAAAGUAGUGUCGCGGCUUCCGGGAUGCCAUAAAUACCGUGUACGCGAUCUUUUGAUAAUGCGGGUACCGAGACUUGCACGGAGUAAGGACAGUGGACACAUAGUAGACCGGCUUUUGAAGGGGGAAUUUGUGUCUGUCCGUUUCUCGUUCGACGACGAGCACUGCGCUUACGACCUGAUGGGUUGCUGCAAUGUAUAAUAGCAUUGGUUCGCCAAUGUUUGGCGUGGCCAGGACUGGGUUUGUUGCCAAGAUGGCUUUUAUUUCCUCGAGUCCAGCCAUAGCUGCAUCCGUCCACUCGAAGUGUUCGGUGCACCGAAGGAGGCGGUAAAGGGGUAGGGCCUUUUCUCCCAAGCGGGAGAUAAAGCGGCUUAGAGCCGCCACACAUCUGGUUAAUUUUUGUAUUUGUUUGAGGUCCUUCGGGAUAUCCAAUUGUGACAGAGCUCGGAUCUUGGCUGGAUUUGCUUCAAUUCCUCUACCGGAUACAACGAAGCCCAAGAGCUUUCCGGCUGGAACACCGAAAAUGCAUUUUUCCGGGUUGAGCUUGAUGUCAUAUGUUCGGAGGUUAUCGAAUGUUAGCCUCAAGUCGUCUACUAGAGAUUCGACAUGUCUUGUUUUAACGACCACAUCAUCUACGUAUGCCUCCACUGUUUUGCCGAUCUGGUUUGCCAGACAUGUCUGAAUCAUGCGCUGAUAUGUUGCGCCGGCGUUUUUGAGCCCGAAGGGCAUUGUGUUGAAGCAGAAUGGGUCGUAUGGUGUGAUGAAUGCUGUUGCGGCAUGGUCUGACUCUGCCAUCUUUAUUUGAUGGUAGCCGGAGUAUGCGUCGAGGAAACACAACGAAUCGUGUCCCGCGGUAGCGUCGAUAAUUUGAUCGAUGCGGGGGAGGGGGGAGGGAUCCUUUGGGCAAGCCUUGUUAAGGUCUUUAAAAUCAACGCACAGGCGCCAGGAUUUGUCCUUCUUUGGUAUCAUUACCAGGUUUGCUAGCCAGUCCGGGUGUUUUAUAUCUUUGAUGAAUCCGACCUCCAAUAGCUUGGCUAGUUCCUCUCCCAUGGCAUGUCUCUUGGGUUCGGAAAAAUGCCGAAGAGCCUAUUUGACUGGCUUGAAUCCUUUUAGGAUAUUUAAACUGUGUUCGGCCAGCCUGCGUGGGAUUCCUGGCAUGUCUGAAGGGUGCCGGGCGAAAAUGUCCCAGUUCUCUCGUAGGAACUCUCGCAGUGCAGCGUCUACAUCAGGUUUUAACUGUGCCCCGAUGGAAGCUGUUUUAUUGGGGUCCGUUGGAUGGACCUGUAAUUUGACUAUUUCGUCUGCCGGUUUAAAGGAGGUGGACUUGGAUCUUUUGUCGAGUAUCACAUCGUCCCUAUUGACCGUGGAGCGCAGCGCAGUCAGUUCCUCAGCCGCUAGGGCUUCGGAUAGCGCCUCGAGGGCCAGUGCGGCUGUCUUGUUUUCGGCGCAGAGUGCUAUGUCCGGAUCACUAGCGAGAGUGAUGAUUCCGUUAGGCCCGGGCAUCUUGAGCUUCAUGUACCCGUAAUGGGGUAUUGCUUGGAAGAUUGUAAACGCUUCCCGCCCUAGCAGAGCGUGAUAUCCGCUACUGAACGGGGCCACUUGGAACGUGACCUCUUCGGACCUGUAAUUAUCCGGCGUGCCGAACACCACAUCUAGUGUGAUUUUUCCUGUACAACGCGCUUCCCGACUGGGGAUUAUUCCUCUAAAGGUUGUGCUACUUCGCUCGAUGCGGUUCUAGUCUAUUUCCAUUUUUUGAAGGGUUUCCUCAUAAAUGAGGUUCAAUCCGCUGCCGCCAUCCAUGAGUACCUUGGUAAGACGAAAGCCGUCCACUAUUGGGCUGAGGACCAAUGCGGCUGGUGCUCGGGCUGUUCGGAAUUUAGGUUCAUCACUGGCGUUAAAAGUAAUAGCCGUGUCACUGCAUGGGUUUAUUGUUGCUACUUGGUAGACUUCGGCAAGGCUGCGGAGUGUUCUUUUUCGCAUAUUAUUUGAUGCGAAAGUCUCGAAGACUGUUAAUACCGUACUGGUGUUUCUGGGGUGGCUUUCUGUGGCUUCUGGAAUUAGAAGAUCUUCGCCAAUUUUUGCCACCUGCCGGAGUAUCCAACAUGCUCUAAGGCUAUGAGUUGGUGUGGCGCCCUCUGCACUGUGAAUUUUACAGGGUCCAUUAAGCCAUCCUUCCAGUACGGUUCCGUGCCCUGUAGAGGGCUUUUGCUUUUUGGUGUUGAACCCGGGUGUCUGGCGAUGAUGCACCCUUUUAUUUCGGACUGGGGUUGUAUUCAUGGCCGGAUUGUCCCAAAAUUUUAUUUCGGUUUUCCAGGCGCUUUCCAUUGCAUAGUACUUUCGUACUAUGGACGCCAAGUCAGCGAAGCGUGUAAUAUCACGGUGACUUGUGGCGUUGUGGAUUCCCUUGUCCGUGCAAUUAUUGCAGAAGAAUGAAAUUGCGUCUUCCUCGCGGCAGUCCUUUAUCCUGUUCAUAACCAGGAGGAAUCUGGCCCAGUAAUGAUUUACUGUUUCUUCGGGCUCUUGCCUAAUUUGGGAUAGAUCGCUUAUGUACGGGUGGGGUGGGUGGAAUCAAAUCCGAAACCUCACCCAAUCUGAGACCCAGAGGCCAAGGAGUUUCCGAACUCGGAAGUUUGGAUUCUUGGAUGCUGUCCAAUGAAUCUAGCCCGUCGCCUGACUUUAAGUUUAGGUCUUGAGUGAUUUCCUCCCCUCCGCGGGUAUCCGGCUUGGAGGGAUCAGAAAUCCGGACAUAGCUAGUCCUUAAGAUAGAUGAAGGGUCGCCGCACUGUCCCUGUACCACGGCAACAUGAUGGGUGACCUGGGGAGAGUUAAUCUCUCUCAGAUCGGGUUUAGGCCCAAUCUGGUCAUAAUCCGUAGCGACUCCCAGGGCGGCGAUGCGAUCCAAGAGAUCGUUUAGGGAACAGAGCUCCGUUGGAUCCAGCUACUCGGUGAAUUCUGAGUUGACGUGAAGAUUGCUUUCGAUGACCCGAGAGGUCAUCGUCGGCGCAGCAGCCGAACAGGUGGUCAUAAGGAAACCACCUAGCCGGAGAGUUUGGCCGACAGCCAAAGCUCCCUUAGCAACAGUGCCGUCUUUAAAGACGGGAUGAGGCAUCCUUCCUGAUGGCGACGGCACAGAGGAACUCUCAAUGAAAGCACCAAUGUCGGUGUCAAAACCGGCGGAUCUCGGGUAGGGGGUCCCGAACUGUGCGUCUAGGCGGAUGGUAACAGGAGACGAGGGACACGAUGUUUUUACCCAGGUUCGGGCCCUCUUUAAGGAGGUAAAACCCUACGUCCUGCUUGAUUAAUAUUGAUGAUAUGGGUAGUAUAAGAGUAGUUCUACCACGAGAUCAGAGAGGCUAAACCCUAGAAGCUAGCCUAUGGUAUGAUUGUUGUUCGUACGGACUAAAACCCUUCGGUUUAUAUAGACACCGGAGAGGGCUAGGGCUACACAGAGUCGGUUACAAUGGUAGGAGAUCUACAUAUCCGUAUCGCCAAGCUUGCCUUCCACGCCAAGGAAAGUCCCUUCCGGACAUGGGAUGAAGUCUUCAAUCUUGUAUCUUCAUAGUCCAGGAGUCCGGCCGAAGGUAUAGUCCGGCUACCCGGACACCCCCUAAUCUAGGACUCCCUCAUCGAGCAUGUCAGUUAAAUCGUCGACAGUGGCUACUAAGUGGGUGGUGGGUGGGGAGCGAAUUUCUUCGUCGUCCUCAUUCCAUCCUGGCCGGACAUAGUUCGGCCAAGGGUCUCGUGACAGGGAGAGAGACCUCAAGGAUUUUAGCACGUCGCCAAAGGGCGAGUGCUGAAAGAUAUCCGCGGAAGUAAACUCUGUCGGAUUUCGGGUUCCGACAGACCCUUGAGGUUCGAACACUGGGGUGCGCGCGGAGAUCUCUCCCCUACCGAUCUACCUCCAAUUUCCUCGUGUGAUCUAAGCUGGAAACAACGAGCAACACAAGGGACACGAGGUUUAUACUGGUUCGGGCCACCGUUGUGGUGUAAUACCCUACUCCAGUGUGUGGUGUGGUGGAUUGCCUCAGGGGCUGAUGAUGAACAGUACAAGGGAAGAACAGCCUCGCAAGAGGUGUUCUUGAGCCGGUGUGAUGAACUGUUUGGGUGAGUUCAGUCGCCUCUCUCUCUCUGCUAGGGCUCUACCAGAUCUCUAGAUGUCCUCCUCUCCCCAUCGAUGUCCCUCUACUCUGUGGUGGCUAGCUCUAUUUAUAGAGGCCCUGGGCCUCUCCCCAAAUAAUGAGAAGGAAGGGCACCAACAAUUGGCCAUUUUGAAGGGGAACAUCUAGUACAAGUUAUCCUGACCAAAGGUGGUCUUCGGCUGCCAAAAGCACUGGUGAUGACACCGUCUUGGGCUCCACGGUGACCUCCAUCCUGACGCUCUGUUGGUCUUGGUCUCGUUGCACCGGAAUGGUAACCUUUCCCCGAUGCCUUGGCCUGUGCUUGCCCCCUUUGCACCAAAGGGGAAACAAGGACACUGCGCAGGCCGGCGCCCGCCUGGUCUCGAUCGUCAUGGCUUGCGUCACGGGCUCCUCGCGAGGUGCCCCUGCCUUGAUCUCUCCGCCUCCUCGCGAGCCUGCCUGAUGAGGCUGCCUCUGAGGAAGCUUUCUGUCGUACGCCCCGCGAGGCUUGGCCCCUCGCGAGGGUCUUGAGCUUGAGCUGAUGAAGAUGGGACGUGUUGGGCCCCCACUUGAGCCACGCCGUAGGCCGCAGGUAGGAAAGUCUGGGGACCCCCGUUCCCAGAACGCCGACAGUAGCUCCCGGGCCCAAGGCACGCCCGGGCUUGGCCUAGCAGGGAAGCGAAGGGGCGAGCGCGAAGCGCCGCAGGCCCCAACAGCUUGCGGCCUUGGGCGCCGCGUGGCGAUUGAUUGGGCGUGGGCGUCUGCGCUUCCCCAUGACGCCUCGGCGACCGCACGACUUGAUAAGUCCCUGCAUGCAGAGAAACCUGUCAUGAUUACCUGCGAUCGUGGUGCUCGGUGAUUGGCCUCCUCCGGCUAUAAGUACGGGGCUGCGCGAGCCCCUUCAGUCCAUCCCUUCCUGCUACUCCUUUCCUUCUUCUUUCUUAUUCUUGCUCCUCCUUACGCUAACGGCACCAAUCCGCCGGUUUUCUGCAGAAGAGAAGGGAAAGGCCCCCCGAGAGGGUCCUGACCCACUUCCACCGAAGAAGCGGCUGGUCCUCUGCCACCGAGAUGAGGGUGCGCAGCAGGAGGCAUCGAGGCCCUGGUACGAGCGGCGGCCGCCUGGGUUUCCGCUACCCUUGUACGCCCGCGUCGUGGGUCCUGGGGGAGAAGGCAUCGAGCGACAUCGACGGUGCCGCCGUCGACGCCGGCGAGUCACGCUGGUGCGUGUCGUUCCUCCUGGAGUCCACGCCGAGCGCUCCUCUCGCGAGCUCGUGCUCCACGCCGCCAUGCCUCCAAGCUCUUGGAUUCUCCUUCCUCCUUCCUUCGCCUUCAAGAUGCCGCCGAGCGGGGAUCUGGAGCUCUGGCUGCAGCAUGCUGACUGCAGUACCCUUGCAGCCGGAGCGGAGGUCACGGUCGUCGCUCCGGGCAAGGUCUUCAUGACCUGGGGCUGGGGCAAAAUCGCCCGGGUCUGCCGGACGGUAGGUGCCCUCGUAAUUCAUCUUGAAUACAAUGGCGCCUCCCUGAUGUUCUUCAAGGUCUUCAUUGCUGAAGGACGCCGGCAGGAGUGCUGCCCCAGGGAGAGCAGCAGGGGCAACAAACUGGAGAGGACUUGGCCCGCCCAUCGGUCCUCCAGCAGCUCUUUAGGCAGCAACGGAGGAGCUGGGGAAUCCAGCGGCUCCCCCGAGCUCCUCGCGACUCCGGAGACGAGCGACGACAGCUACGAGCCCCCGAGCUCGCGCUGUGCUCGGAGCAGGGCAGUUGUGUCCAGCCGCCGACGCCACUGAUCUGGAUGGGGUUGGUGCCAACGUUGGGCAGCCCACUGUUGAUGAUGGUGUCCCUUGCGGAGGUGCGGGCGAUUAGCGUUCCUUAGGAUUAGUACUUCUGUUCCCUGUGAGGAAUCGAAGCAACACCCCAUGGGGGUAUGUAAGGUGCCUGCCAUGUCUUUUGCAAACAUUAUGUCUUAAUAUGAAUCAAUGCGAGGUGCUUGUCCUAUCUCGUCUCGGCUCCCCCUUUCUAUCCUCACGAGGAUGUGGCGCUCUAUGCUGACAGGUCCCAGUCCCUAGGCAGGCUUCAGCCGUCGCUGGUAUGCCAGGUUGCGGUGUCGUGGUCAAGGCCAGGAGGUGAGCAGCCCGAGGUUUGGUAAGAGCCUCCGAGUCGCGAUGCUCGGGAGGUCCCCUUUAGCGCUCAAGCAGCCCUCGCUGGGUGAGAAAGGAAGGCAACGUCGCCGUGACAGAGCCGCACUGGGCGAGGGUUUUGCGCUGCAUUGGUCCAACUCCUGUAAGGGCAUGACUUAUCUCUUGAGUCUGGUGUAGUUCCUCGACGAAGCGCCCGACCCGAGUGGUGACAGCUGAGGCGCUGCUGGGUUAGGUCCUCGCGAGCUUCUUCCCACUCCCCCGCACUUUCCUUAAUGCUCUACAUCCUCAGGUCCUGGCCCUCGAGCGAGCUCAGCCGCUGCUGGGAUGACAGGUCGCGAUGCCGUGGGUCAAGUCCAGGGGGUGAGGGCUGGAGAGCCAGAAGGAGCCCAUGAGUCGCGAUGCUCAGGCGCCCCCCUUUUAACAUGGAAGCGGUCUGUGCCGGAGAGAGGGAGAGGUAGCUCGUGACUUCCCCAGCGUUGCUCCUGGAGUAGGUCCUAUACACCAAUCAUGAAGAGAAACAAGACCUGUUGUUACGGUUGCCAGCCAACCUUUGGUCGCUCCGGGGAAGUGAUUGGGGCACUAAGGGCCUGGUGAUGUGGCGCCUUGCGGGGCUGCCGUAGCCAGAGCUCGACCACUUAGAUUUAUCGGUGUUGCAGGGACAGACCCGUGCGCAAAUGCCGUGCCAGAGAGAGCGGCUCCAUAGGUAGGCGUCAAUCGAGCAGGCGAUUAGGUCGGGUACGUUAAGCACGCAGGAGGAAAUUCAUUUUAAGUAGACGCUGGAAAAGCAAACGCCACUGGGCCAGGCCCGAGCAGCUCGGUGUUGAUGCAGCCCAAGGGGCGCCCCCAAUAAGGUAGGUAAAGGGCAUAAGCAAAACGGAUUGAUGCCGCAGGGACGGACCCACGCGACCUGGGAAUGAUGCGGUCCUGUGGGCGCUCCCAGCUAAAAACGGAACUUAGAAAGAUGUCACCUAGUGCCAUUGAAGAUGAAGUGAUGUUGAAGAAGUGGGCGAUGCACGAUGAUGACGUCGACCCUCACGAGCCCCAGGCCCAGGAGCCUCGGGAGGCUCCAGAGGCGCAGGUGGGUCUCCGAGGGCCAUCUCCAUCUCCGCCAGGAGUGCACAAUGCCUGACCUCCUGGGCCUCCAGAAUGCUCCUCAGCAGGCGCUGAUGAGCGGCAACCGCGUUCAGCAGGCCGAAAGGCAUGCGAACGUAGCUGUGAGGUGGACCCUCGCGACGCCCCACGCGUGAAGGCCAGAGAGGUGGAGAGUGGAACCACCUAUGCCAAUUUCAGUUUGCCUACUCCUUCCCUAAAAAGGAGUUUGCCUACUCUUGCUAGUUCGCUAACUCUUGUUGUCGUCACCUCUCAAGCAUAAAUCAAAAUAACCAGCAUCAUCUUCUAAAUAAACAUGAUAUUAGGAAGGUAGAGAGGUGGAGAGUGGAUGUAGGAUGAAGGGUGAUUUAAAAGUGAAAAAUUUAUGAUGCUUCUUGAUGUACAUGAGAUUCCAGUAUAUGUUACCUACUUAGGCCCCGUUCGGAUCCUCUCCCGCUAACAACUUCUUUGGCUCAGUGCGUGGAGUUGUCCCGAACGCGGUAGCUCCUAGAAGCCAACUUUGCAGAGCAAACUACCCUCAUAGUGCAAAAAUGAGAAGCAGGUCGAACCCAGCUUAAAAAAAUCGACGGAGGCGGAGUUGGACAUAAUUAACCAAUAUGCCACCUGUAAGUGCAUCUAGUGCCACCCCUAGUUGGUUUUGGAGUAUUGACGACAAACUUGGUUGAGGGACUAAUGCGUUUGUGAGAAUUGCAGGAUAACACAGGUAGUAGUCCCUCAUUGAUUCGGUUUUACCUAUCAGAGAUGACCCCUAAAAAUGUAUGAAGACAUUGAAUACAAUGGUGGUUCGUGAAGACAUUCACGAUGAAGAUAAUGACUUGUGAAGACAUUCACUUGAAGACUAUGGAGUGCAAAGACAUAUUUGUUUCGUAGUUUCCUUUUCUUCUUUAUUGAGUCAUAGGAACCACCGUACUAUUAAGUGGGGUCCAAGUGAACAAAGUCAGAUGACUGAUGUGAUGCUCAACCAAAAACCUAUGUCUUCGAGCGAAGACAAUGAGAGUAAAUCUUAUGCAGAGUUGGAUGAGUCAACUUUGCUUGUAGCUCAAGCCAAGCUGCCACGUGUGUUUGAAAUCCGACUGUUGGACACGUGUUGGUUCCUUAGUGACCCAGGGUCAUUUCGUACAUAUCAUGUCGAGUUGCCUCCAGGCUAUAAAUAGCCUACCCCCUACACCAUAAAUUGGUGGCUGCUCAGAAUUAGUGCACGACUUUUGUCGUUUGAGAGCAGCCCACCUCCGAAGCAUUUGAGAGAGAGAUCCUUGUGAGGACAAAGCCCAAAACACCUAGGGCCAAAGAGUGUUAGGCAUCACUGAAGUCCUUCUAUCCGCGUCACCUGAAGACUUAUUACACUUGAGGCCUAUGAAUCCUCCAGCCGGUUAGGCGUCACGUUCUGAGCAUCCAAGAGUCAUUGUGGAUCGCCAGUGAACGAAGUCUAUGAAGGUUUGGAAGUCUACCUUGAAGACUUAACAGAGUGAUUGGGCGAGGACCGGGUGUCCUUAGCUCAAGGGGAAUAAGGUGAAGACCCAGUCUUCUGAGUUCAAUCCCAGCCUCCUUAACUAAACGUAAAGUUGUCACAGUAACUGGAACUAGUCUACCAAAUCCUUGUCUUAUCCAACCUACUGGUUCUAUCCCUUACUUCCUUUACAUUUCAGUUUGUCUUUGUGAAAUAUUUGCUUACUUGUCUGAUCUGUUUGACUUCACUGUGUGAAGACUAUUAUCGGUUUGGCUUCAUAGUGUCUUCCAUUCUGAUCCAUACUACCUAGCUGCCGAUAGUCUUCAUACUUUCAUAAUAUUGCUUACUUGACUAUGGCUUGUCUAGUGUAGUCUAUCAUCCGUUGCAUAUCAAUAGGUUCAUUUCAUCUGUUUGUCUUCAAAGACCUCGUGUUCUGAAGACUUCCAUAAAAAUCGCCUAUUCACCCCCUCUAGUCGAUAACUAGCACUUUCAAUUGGUAUCAGAGUAAGGUGCUCCCUUGUUCUGUGUGAUUCGGUUUAACCACCUGGAGUUUUAGCUAUGUCGACUGCAGGGAUAAUCAAGGUCUCCGCUGCGUGCACAGUCCUCGAUGGCACUGAUUACCCCUACUGAAAGAAUAAGAUACACAUGCAUCUUGAAGCCAUUGACGUUGACCUCUGGUAUGUCGUCAAGACAGGUGUUCCCAAGGUCGGUGAAGGUGUCACCGCUGCUGAUGUCAAGAGGUUCACUCAUCUGGACUCAACUUCCAAGAACAUCAUCUGUGGUAAUCUGACCAAAGGACAGUAUGGCCAUGCGAGUGCACUGGAAACUGUGAAGCUAGUCUGGGACUGGCUGUCCAAGGUCAACGAAGGCGUCUCAACUCAGAGAGACUCAAGGAUUGAUGUUCUUCGCAAUCUCUUCAACCACUUGAAGAUAAAUGACAAUGAGAACGUCCAGCUCACAUUUGAUCGCCUCAGUGAUAUCACAAAUGAGCUUCAUGCUCUUGGCGCCACUGAGAUCACCAAGCACGAAAUCAUGAAGAAGCUUCUGAGAUCACUUGACAGCUCAUUUGACACAAGAACGUCCUGACUUCAAAGAUCUCGAUCUGUCCGGCAUACUUGAGAGACUAAACACACAUGAGUUCCAGCUAUCUGAAAAGAGAGACAUCUAUGGCCCCAACUAUGGCCGAACUCGUGCUUUGAAGGCAAAAGCCGUUUCCUCAUCUAAAGAAGAAUUUGACUGUAGUUCUGAGGAUCCUGAAGACAUCGGAAAGGAACUAGCUAUGCUCGUGAAGAAGUUCCAGAAGGUCACCAAAAAGAAUCGCUUCGGAAAGUCUUCAAGAUCUAGCUCAAGAAAUGAUGAGGCUUCCUCGCGUGAACACAAGAAGAGAACAUGCCACAAAUGCAAGAAGCCAGGUCACUACAUCUCUGAGUGCCCUCAGUGGGACAAAGAAUCUAAGAAGAAGAAGAAAAGCAAAGAAUAUGACUCUGACGCCAAGAAGAAGAAUAAAUCCUCAAACGCCUUCUUCCAAGUCUUCAUCAAAGUCUUCAUCUCACAAGAAGAGCUCAUCUGGCAUGGCUCGUGCAUUCAUUGGCAAGGAGAUGGAUUCAGAGGAGGAGUCUACUUCUGACGAGGCAGAGGUAGAAUCUGAGGAGGAGUCUGCUUUUGAGGAGGCAGAGGUAGAGUCUGAGGAGGAGUCUGACUUAGGCGUGGCAAGCCUAGCUCUAGCUUCGGCAUUCGUCGCCAAGUCCAUCUUCAACACUAAAGACAAUGGUCACGUCGCCGACGCUGAAGCCGAUGAUGAGGACGACUCUGCUCCAACUUACUGCUUCAUGGCACAUGGUGCCAAGGUAAACUCACGCGAUGCUUACUUUCAAACAUCCAGUGGAGAUGAAUCCGAGUGUGAAUCCAAACCUAGCUACAAGACUCUGGCUAAAAAGUUUGCAACUGAACAACAAACUGUUAUGGAACAUAUUCAAAAGUUGCUAGACAAAAGCGAUGACCUGUUGGACGCGGAAAUGAAUCGAACUCAGUCCUUAAUUGAAGACAUUAAUAAUCUUUACGUUAAGUAUGAGGAACUUGAAAGUCGUCAUGAAAAACUGUCGCCGUUCUGGGAACGGGGGUCCCCAGGCUUGCCUGCCUGCGGCUCGCAGCGUGGCUCCACCGAUGGCCCCGUACGGCCCAUUCUCACCAGCAAACAUUCAAGACCCUCGCGAGGGGCCAAGCCUCGCGAGGUGGACUACGCAAGGCCUCCUCAGGGGCGGCCUCACCAGGCUGGCUCGCGAGGGGCAGAGAGAUCAAGGCGAGGGGCACCUCACGAGUUUUCGGUGAUGCAAGCCAUGAUGUCCGGAAGCAGGCGGGCCAGGCGGGCGCUAGCAUGCGCAGUGUCCUCGUUUCCUCUUUGGUGCUAAAGGGGCAAGCGCAGGCGAGGAGUCCCGAGGCAUCAGGCAAAGGUUUGCAUAUCGAUGCAACAAGACCAAGACCAGCAGGACGACAAGAGGGAGGUCACCGUGGAGCCCAAGGCGGCGUCACCACCAAAGCCUUUGGCGGGCGAAGACCACUUUUGUCAGGAUAGCUUGUACUAAUUGUCUCCCUUCUAAUUUGGCCGUUGUGGGAUCCCUUCCUGCUCAAUAUUUGGGAAGCGGACCAGGGCCUCUAUAAAUAGGACUAGCCAACACCAAGGGAGAGAGGGGGAUUCAGACCAGAUCAUCCCAAACCACACAAGUUCACCGCGCACAAGAGCACCUCUCCUCAGGAGGGUGUUCUUCCCUUGUAACUGUUCAUCAUCAGCCCAAGAGGUAAUCCACCACACCACACUGAAGUAGGGUAUUACACUACAAUUAGCGGGUCCAUCCGCGCAAUUGCGUAGCUAGAAUCUAUUUUUUAGAUGAUUGUAGGUCAUUUACAAAAAAUAAAAAUGCGUUAUGAUAUAUUUUAUUUUUAAUAAAUGAUACCCUUUGCUAUUGUGUCGACUUAUGUAAACUUGUAUUUUGUCUUAGACAUUAUAUGGUUUUUUAUAUUUUUUGCUCUUCGAGUCGUCGCUUCGCAUUGUUAUUUGUCUUCCGUACUUUUUACAUCUAUUAUUUAAGUUUCUCCGGCCUUUUCUAUGUGAAAUAUUCCCAGCCUUUUUCUCAUUAUAAUUGUGUAGCUAAUCCUAAAAAAAUUACAAACCAACUUGUGGUUGGAUGAUUAGAGGGACUGUGGUAUCCCAGCGUUCAAAUCCUGGUGCUCGCAUUUAUUCCUGGAUUUUAGGAUUUCUAGUGAUGCGCAUUCAGUGGCUCGGUCUUUCAGAGAUGCUCAUGAAGAUAGGAUGUGCAGGUGUACGUUCAUAUGGAUAAAUAAAUAUAUAUGCAUACCUAUGGGCGUUAUCCCAGAAAAAAAUUGUAUGUAUGAGCAUUGUGUUUGGAACGUGUUAAAAAAAGUUGCAACCAACCUUUUUCUUUGCGAAAAUGAAAUCACAACCGGCUGACCAUAGGUCAAAGUGCUACUCAACCCACACACCCAGACUUCCUUCUCUCCUCCACCGGCACAACUAUGAGAGAGAGACCUCAAAGCACAUCUAUGAGAGGGGAAACAGAUCGAGGAAGAGGGAGCAGCCGCACCAAAUCGAGUGGCUUGCUCGUCCAUUACCAAGGUUUGGAAGGGGAUGCUCUUGUAGGCCAGGCCUGACCGAGGCUGGGCCAUGCGUUUGAGCGGCGGAUCCUGCGUCGCCCAGCAGUGAGGCCGCAUCUCGCCGAUCUGGAGAGGCAAAGCGGUCGGCAGGGAGGCCAUGACAGAAUAUGAGAAGUCCCUUGUUGGUUGCUUCGCAGAGUGCGCUGCUCUCUGGUUCAUGGCGUUGGGACCCAAAACAUCUUAUCCGUAGUGUUCCUCGUCCUCUAUGACAGAGUUUAUGAAGGUCUAACUACUCUCCCAUUGUCUUUUGCAACCUCCUCUUGCUGGCACUAUAUAUGUAGUACUUCAUAAGUCGAUUUACAUAGUUGAUUUGUUAAAUUUACUCAUAUGCAAGGUUAUGAUUCCAAACUUUGACUUUUUUAUAGCAUUUGCGUGUACAUCGAAGCACCAAUUAUGUAGUACAUACCGGUAAUUAUAAUUUAGGAGAUGACCUCAUACAUUGACUUGCCAAUUGCCAUUGUUGUGCCUUGCGUUUUUGUAGGGAAUUAAAUUUACAUUUUUCUAUUGACAUUCUAGCCAAAUUCAAUUGGUAUCUCUUCAACACAUACAUAGUAAUUUGGUUCGGCAAUUUUAGAAGGUUAUUUACGGAAGAGCAAGUUCUUUUAACAGUCUAGGCUGCACUUGUUAACACACACACACAUAUAUAGGGUGGGUCUAUUCUAACAACACCCUUAAGGCUCUUAUUCUGCACACAAAAUCCUUAUUCUGCUAACACUAGAAAACUAUUCAGCCCCGCACCCACCCCGAACUAAACCAGGCCACCUACCACUAACCCACGAUCCCCUCCACCUUCGUCCGCAGAUGCCACCCCCCACCACCGGCCAGCCUUCCCCGCUCCGCCGCCCACCCACCACCCCCUCCACCAACCUUCUGCCGUUGCUGGCCCGGCACUAGGGGCAGUUGCCGGUAGCGCACCACCCCGUCGCUCCACCUCCAGUGAGCUAGCGACGGGAUCCGGCCCUCCCCAACCAACAUCGCACCCCUACCUUCUUCCCCUACACCUUCUUCCCCCUCACUCCGCCGGCGCCGCCAGCAGUAGACCCGCCCCGGCGAUCCCCUCCACCUUCCUCCGACACGGGGCUCCGCCGCCUUGCCCAGGACCAAGAUAUCGUGCUCCUUCGCCACUGGAUCCCGUUGUCGGCCACACCGCGACGAGCUCGGGCAUCACGAGCCGCCGCGAGGCCAACCAUCGCCGGAUUCGGACAACCGUGGCCCCACACGACCCGCCAUCGUCGAUUCGUAGCCCGCAAGGCCUCGCGCGAGCCGCCUCCUUUCCCUUCGUCGCAUGGGGCCGCCCCACCUUCUCCUCCUCCUUGGUUCAGAUCGAGCCAAGGACGAGCUUUCUCCUCCUCGUUGCGGUCCCCGACCAUGGCGCCAUCUGUGCUGCUCGGCCGCCACCCCACCUCGUGCAGCUUGGUCGUCGCCCCUGUGCAGCUCGCCCCCUCCCCUCGUGCAUCUCGGUCCCCGGCCAAGGCUUCCAUCCUCCAGAUCCGGCAGCCAUGGCUUCCGCUGCCUCCUCUACGCCUGUAAUGGCGGCGACAACCACCCGUGCAAUACAGAAAAGGGCUUAUUUCUUCUUUUUUGCUGUGUUGGAUGUGCAGUGCUGCUAGAUCCUGCAAGCAAUACGUUGUGUGCCUUCGUGUGGUUCAUCCACGACCGCCGCGAAUCCCCUCCCUUCCAUACCCUCUCUAUUCCACAGUCGGGCACGCUCCUCACGGGGCUGCUACUGGUCUGAGCACCGUGGGACGAGCUCGAGCGCCUGGUCUCCUUGCGGGUGCGUGAUGGAGGGAUGCAAGUCAGGGAGGAUGAUUGGCGUGCAGGUUCCGUAGUACUGCCUGACCGAGCCAUCCACAUACGUGGGUGUCGUGCCAGUGUUGUUCGUCGUGGACGCAUGGUGCAGUGCACCUCGUCGUGUGGUGCGGUUCAGAACAGUUUCUUACCACAUUUUUUCUAGAUUUUGCAUGUGCGAUUCAGUCACAUCACUUGAGCAAAAUAAUUUUGUGUGUAUUUUUUUAGAUUAUGGCUGUUGAUUUGGGUGAAUUCAGUUUCUAAUGAAGUUUGUUAAAUCCCUCUGUGUAGUUCGGCUGGCGCCGACAUGAGGUUCACUUCUACAUGGUAGCUUGGAUGCCUUGGCAUUGCACAUCGUCAUUUGUUGUGGUGCCGUGCGGGUGUGUGCGGCGUGCAGCUCGAAGCAAGCGGGCAUGCAGUUUAGACCGUUGUUUGCGGGUUUUUUUGUCUAUCAAAUGUAUCCGAUUAUGAUGUAUUGUGUGUAAAAAAUAUUUGUUGAGAAGUUUAUUUCAACAAGCAUUAAUGGUUCAUUUUCGAGAGGGAAAAUUUGUUGAUGAAGGCCACUUCGAGGAGUCUUGUGGUUCAUUGUAUUCAAUGAGGAGUCUUGUUGUCUCAUGCAGUUUGCUAUAAAAACUGAUAGAUAUGGCUUUGAAGCUCACUUAGUUGUCCCAUGCAGUUUGCUAUAAAACUUCUACGUGGUUCACUUGUCCCACUUGUAAAACACUUAUAAAAUAGAAAAAAAACACUUGUAAAACAGGGAAAAAUAAUAUCUCAAAGAAACUCGCUUCUAUAUUAGAUGUAGUUCACUCGCUUGGUCAACGCGCAUAAAAAACUUGUAAAACAGGGAAAAAUAAUAUCUCAAAGAAGCUCGCUUCUAUAUUAGAUGUAGUUCACUCGCUCAGUCACUGUGGUCCACUCGCUUGGUCAACACGCAUAAAAACUUGUAAAACAGGGGAAAAAUAUCUCAAAGAAGCCGGCUUCUAUAUUAGAU